GAUGCCAGUAUGAUAGACACCAGGGAUUCUACGGCUGAACUAAAUAAAUAUUAUCGCUCUACCCAGCACCUAAAGCCGUCUAUCUUAGAAGUACCUCAGUAUUAUUAUUGACAAUUAGAUUAAAAAUAUAUAAAUCAAUUAACUUUGUGAUUCUUUUUGUUUGAUUUUACAGGGGACAGUAUGUUAAAUACAGGUUUUAUUUUACCACGAUCUGUCUGGGAUGUUCUUCUCCACCCAGACAGAGGUAACGACGAGUAUAGUGGAUAUAAAUCUACUGAUCUAUUUUAAACAAGUGUCCAUGUAUAUUUUUCUUUUUUAAUUCUACAGGAGACAGUAUGUUGGACACAGGUUAUUCUAACUUCGAUCUGUCUGGGAUGUCCUUCAGUACACCAGACAGGGACAACGACGGGCAUACUGGUGGUAACUGUGCUGCUGGCAGUAUCCGUAGAGGAGGCUGGUGGUUCAAUGAGUGUCACCGAGCCUUCCUUAACGGUCAAUGGUCCCCGGAGUCCUGGUCCAGACCAUGGUAUCCCACAGUAAAGAAUGGGACAUCAGUGAAGGGGACCACCAUGAUGAUCAGACGGAACUAGACGAAAGAUCAUCCAUGGAUUAUGGAAACCCUCAAGAGACGAUUUUAAAUUAAUCUUUAUCGCUGAGUUCUUUUUUUUAAUAUUUAACAUCAAGUAACAAACAGUAAAAGAAGGUGGUUGAACGGCUCUGUAAAGCGAUACUGGAUGUAUUCAGUAAAAGAUGUAUUUUAUAUGUGUUGUAAUAAAUUUGAAAA